rnacentral:rRNA from 1 species
GAACGCUGGCGGCAGGCCUAACACAUGCAAGUCGAGCGGUAGCACAGAGAGCUUGCUCUCGGGUGACGAGCGGCGGACGGGUGAGUAAUGUCUGGGAAACUGCCUGAUGGAGGGGGAUAACUACUGGAAACGGUAGCUAAUACCGCAUAACGUCGCAAGACCAAAGUGGGGGACCUUCGGGCCUCAUGCCAUCAGAUGUGCCCAGAUGGGAUUAGCUAGUAGGUGGGGUAACGGCUCACCUAGGCGACGAUCCCUAGCUGGUCUGAGAGGAUGACCAGCCACACUGGAACUGAGACACGGUCCAGACUCCUACGGGAGGCAGCAGUGGGGAAUAUUGCACAAUGGGCGCAAGCCUGAUGCAGCCAUGCCGCGUGUGUGAAGAAGGCCUUCGGGUUGUAAAGCACUUUCAGCGGGGAGGAAGGCGUUAAGGUUAAUAACCUUGGCGAUUGACGUUACCCGCAGAAGAAGCACCGGCUAACUCCGUGCCAGCAGCCGCGGUAAUACGGAGGGUGCAAGCGUUAAUCGGAAUUACUGGGCGUAAAGCGCACGCAGGCGGUCUGUCAAGUCGGAUGUGAAAUCCCCGGGCUCAACCUGGGAACUGCAUUCGAAACUGGCAGGCUAGAGUCUUGUAGAGGGGGGUAGAAUUCCAGGUGUAGCGGUGAAAUGCGUAGAGAUCUGGAGGAAUACCGGUGGCGAAGGCGGCCCCCUGGACAAAGACUGACGCUCAGGUGCGAAAGCGUGGGGAGCAAACAGGAUUAGAUACCCUGGUAGUCCACGCCGUAAACGAUGUCGAUUUGGAGGUUGUGCCCUUGAGGCGUGGCUUCCGGAGCUAACGCGUUAAAUCGACCGCCUGGGGAGUACGGCCGCAAGGUUAAAACUCAAAUGAAUUGACGGGGGCCCGCACAAGCGGUGGAGCAUGUGGUUUAAUUCGAUGCAACGCGAAGAACCUUACCUGGUCUUGACAUCCACAGAACUUUCCAGAGAUGGAUUGGUGCCUUCGGGAACUGUGAGACAGGUGCUGCAUGGCUGUCGUCAGCUCGUGUUGUGAAAUGUUGGGUUAAGUCCCGCAACGAGCGCAACCCUUAUCCUUUGUUGCCAGCGGUUCGGCCGGGAACUCAAAGGAGACUGCCAGUGAUAAACUGGAGGAAGGUGGGGAUGACGUCAAGUCAUCAUGGCCCUUACGACCAGGGCUACACACGUGCUACAAUGGCAUAUACAAAGAGAAGCGACCUCGCGAGAGCAAGCGGACCUCAUAAAGUAUGUCGUAGUCCGGAUUGGAGUCUGCAACUCGACUCCAUGAAGUCGGAAUCGCUAGUAAUCGUAGAUCAGAAUGCUACGGUGAAUACGUUCCCGGGCCUUGUACACACCGCCCGUCACACCAUGGGAGUGGGUUGCAAAAGAAGUAGGUAGCUUAACCUUCGGGAGGGCGCUUACCACUUUGUGAUUCAUGACUGGGGC